rnacentral:tRNA from 1 species
GGCCCCGUAGCUCAGAGGAUAGAGCAGUGGUUUCCUAAACCAUGUGUCGGGAGUUCAACUCUCUCCGGGGCCGCCA